rnacentral:rRNA from 1 species
AGUCGAACGGUACGCGGGGCAACCUGGCGACGAGUGGCGAACGGGUGAGUAAUAUAUCGGAGCGUGCCCAAUAGUGGGGGAUAGCCCGGCGAAAGCCGGAUUAAUACCGCAUGAGACCUGAGGGUGAAAGCGGGGGAUUCGCAAGAACCUCGCGCUAAUGGAGCGGCCGAUAUCAGAUUAGGUAGUUGGUGGGGUAAAAGCCUACCAAGCCGACGAUCUGUAGCUGGUCUGAGAGGACGACCAGCCACACUGGGACUGAGACACGGCCCACACUCCUACGGGAGGCAGCAGUGGGGAAUUUUGGACAAUGGGCGCAAGCCUGAUCCAGCCAUGCCGCGUGCGGGAAGAAGGCCUUCGGGUUGUAAACCGCUUUUGUCAGGGAAGAAAUCCUUUGAGUUAAUACCUCGGAGGGAUGACGGUACCUGAAGAAUAAGCACCGGCUAACUACGUGCCAGCAGCCGCGGUAAUACGUAGGGUGCGAGCGUUAAUCGGAAUUACUGGGCGUAAAGCGUGCGCAGGCGGUUAUGCAAGACAGAUGUGAAAUCCCCGGGCUCAACCUGGGAACUGCAUUUGUGACUGCAUAGCUAGAGUACGGUAGAGGGGGAUGGAAUUCCGCGUGUAGCAGUGAAAUGCGUAGAUAUGCGGAGGAACACCGAUGGCGAAGGCAAUCCCCUGGACCUGUACUGACGCUCAUGCACGAAAGCGUGGGGAGCAAACAGGAUUAGAUACCCUGGUACUCCACGCCCUAAACGAUGUCCACUGGUUGUUGGACGGCUU